CCUACGGGUGGCUGCAGUGGGGAAUAUUGGACAAUGGGCGCAAGCCUGAUCCAGCAAUGCCGCGUGUGUGAAGAAGGCCUGCGGGUUGUAAAGCACUUUGAGUGGGGAAGAAGGCCUGGGGGUUAAUAGCUUCUGGGAUUGACGUUACCCACAGAACAAGCACCGGCUAACUCCGUGCCAGCAGCCGCGGUAAUACGGAGGGUACGAGCGUUAAGCGGAAUGACUGUGGGUAGUGCACGCGUUGGGGUGUGAAAGCCCUGGGCUUAACCUGGGAACUGCAUUGGAUACUGUUUGACUGGAGUGUGGUAGAGGGGUGUGGAAUUUCCGGUGUAGCAGUGAAAUGCGUAGAGAUCGGAAGGAACACCAGUGGCGAAGGCGGCACCCUGGACCGACACUGACGCUGAGGUGCGAAAGCGUGGGGAGCAAACAGGAUUAGAUACCCUUGUAGUC
rnacentral:rRNA from 1 species